rnacentral:rRNA from 1 species
UACGUAGGGAGCGAGCGUUGUCCGGAUUUACUGGGUGUAAAGGGUGCGUAGGCGGCUCUGCAAGUCAGGUGUGAAACCCAUCGGCUUAACUGAUGGACUGCAUUUGAAACUGUAGGGCUUGAGUGGAGUAGAGGCAGACGGAAUUCCCGGUGUAGCGGUGAAAUGCGUAGAGAUCGGGAGGAACACCAGUGGCGAAGGCGGUCUGCUGGGCUUUAACUGACGCUGAGGCACGAAAGCAUGGGUAGCAAACAGGAUUAGAUACCCUGGUAGUCCAUGCUGUAAACGAUGAUUACUAGGUGUGGGGGGUCUGACCCCCUCCGUGCCGGAGUUAACACAAUAAGUAAUCCACCUGGGAAGUACGACCGCAAGGUUGAA